AGCCAUAUCACAUUGAAACACUGGUUCUCAUCCAGUCAGUGAAGUUAAGCAAUGUCAAGCCUGAUCAGUACCUAAAUGGGUGACCAUUUAGGAAUACCAUGUACUGUAA